GUUUUUAUAGUGUAAAAAACAUAUAAUUUUUUCAGAAUUAAGAUAAUAAAGAUUUAAAAACA
rnacentral:tRNA from 6 species